rnacentral:rRNA from 1 species
UAAAGGUAUUCCGGUAGACGAUGGGGAUGCGUUCCAUUAGAUAGUAGGCGGGGUAACGGCCCACCUAGUCUUCGAUGGAUAGGGGUUCUGAGAGGAAGGUCCCCCACAUUGGAACUGAGACACGGUCCAAACUCCUACGGGAGGCAGCAGUGAGGAAUAUUGGUCAAUGGGCGAGAGCCUGAACCAGCCAAGUAGCGUGAAGGAUGACUGCCCUAUGGGUUGUAAACUUCUUUUAUAAAGGAAUAAAGUCGGGUAUGCAUACCCGUUUGCAUGUACUUUAUGAAUAAGGAUCGGCUAACUCCGUGCCAGCAGCCGCGGUAAUACGGAGGAUCCGAGCGUUAUCCGGAUUUAUUGGGUUUAAAGGGAGCGUAGAUGGAUGUUUAAGUCAGUUGUGAAAGUUUGCGGCUCAACCGUAAAAUUGCAGUUGAUACUGGAUAUCUUGAGUGCAGUUGAGGCAGGCGGAAUUCGUGGUGUAGCGGUGAAAUGCUUAGAUAUCACGAAGAACUCCGAUUGCGAAGGCAGCCUGCUAAGCUGCAACUGACAUUGAGGCUCGAAAGUGUGGGUAUCAAACAGGAUUAGAUACCCUGGUAGUCCACACGGUAAACGAUGAAUACUCGCUGUUUGCGAUAUACGGCAA